UCCAUAUUGGUGUAUCGGUAACAUUUCCGCCUCUCAAGAAAGCCUUAAGAACGCGGUAGCGCAGGGUUCGACUCCCUGAUAUGGAA